GGAUAACCGUAGUAAUUCUAGGGCUAAUACAUGAGUAAAGUCCCGUAGGGAUGUGUUUAUUAGAAUGAAAACCAUAUGCUUCGGCAUGAUAGUGAGUAAUAGUAACCUAUCGUAUCGCAGCUAUAAGUAGCGAUGAUCUUUCAGUUUCUGCCCUAUCACUUUCGAUGGUACAUAUGGGUCUACCAUGGCAUAACGGGUACGAAAAUUGGUUCGAUUCCGGGAAGGGAGCUGAAGAGAUGGCUGCUACACUCCAGAAGCACAGCAAGCGCGUAAAUUACCCAAAUCUGACACAGGAGGAUGGUGACAACAUAUCACAAUGCG
rnacentral:rRNA from 1 species